rnacentral:rRNA from 2 species
ACUAACUGGAGGACCGAACCGACUAAUGUUGAAAAAUUAGCGGAUGACCUGUGGCUGGGGGUGAAAGGCCAAUCAAACCGGGAGAUAGCUGGUUCUCCCCGAAAGCUAUUUAGGUAGCGCCUCGUGAAUUCAUCUCCGGGGGUAGAGCACUGUUUCGGCUAGGGGGCCAUCCCGGCUUACCAACCCGAUGCAAACUGCGAAUACCGGAGAAUGUUAUCACGGGAGACACACGGCGGGUGCUAACGUCCGUCGUGAAGAGGGAAACAACCCAGACCGCCAGCUAAGGUCCCAAAGUCAUGGUUAAGUGGGAAACGAUGUGGGAAGGCCCAGACAGCCAGGAUGUUGGCUUAGAAGCAGCCAUCAUUUAAAGAAAGCGUAAUAGCUCACUGGUCGAGUCGGCCUGCGCGGAAGAUGUAACGGGGCUAAACCAUGCACCGAAGCUGCGGCAGCGACACUGUGUGUUGUUGGGUAGGGGAGCGUUCUGUAAGCCUGUGAAGGUGUGUCGUGAGGC